UCCGCUGCGUUGCUAAGGAAACAAUCAACUAUCAACUCGGUGCGAAGCAAAGCUAACGUUAGCUACCUUCAAUUUUGUAAUUUUGUAUUUUUCGCAAUUUUGGACAGCUGGCUGCUUUUGUAAUUUUGGACUGCUGGCUGUCAACAACAGAACGGAGGUUGAUUACAGAUGUCAACACAAGACACACUGCUCCGGGCCCAAGGACACACGCUGUCCUGCCACCAUGACUGUGGUCCUGAAAAGGAGUACAGAGGACAGGAGGUCAAGAUCAACAGAUCGUCAUUUGGGGGAAGGGUACCUGCUUCAGGUGAAAUGGAACAACAACCACAACCACCUUCUUAUUAGUGCGGAUGCUCUAAGGAAGAGAGAUGUUUCCAAAGAGACAGUGGAGCGUUUGAG